UUUUUUGAUACCUGGGCAGCUGGU
rnacentral:piRNA from 1 species